rnacentral:rRNA from 1 species
UACGGAGGGUGCAAGCGUUGUUCGGAAUUAUUGGGCGUAAAGAGCUCGUAGGCGGUUUGUCGCGUCUGCCGUGAAAACCCGAGGCUUAACCUCGUGGCUUGCGGUGGAUACGGGCAGACUAGAGGUAGGUAGGGGAGAAUGGAAUUCCCGGUGUAGCGGUGAAAUGCGCAGAUAUCGGGAGGAACACCGGUGGCGAAGGCGGCGACCUGGUCCAUUACUGACGCUGAGGCGCGAAAGCGUGGGGAGCAAACAGG